UAUCUUGUAUCUCUUGUCAAUUUGAGAAACAAGGUUGGUUUCAAUAGAAAUUUGGAAGGACAAUUUGAAAUCAAGUAAGCUUUAUUUAAAUAAUUUUUAAGACGCCAAUAAUCUUCUAAUUUCUCAUUUUUUGUUUCCUUCGGCAGGACUCCCGAUCUUGGGCCCUCUGCCCUGAACAGCUUUCUGUCCCCAGCCCUUACACCUGGAAGAAAAGAAUAAGAACUUUACCUGAGGAGAUGUAGAAAUUUGGGUGAUUCGGGGAUGGAGUUAGGUUUCAGAUAGAUUAAGAAAUGAUGGCAGGGAAUUUGUACCAUCUGAGAGCACUGUUAAUCACCCUCAGCUCUUCGCUGGCUAAAAACCGACGAGUUGCAUUGUUAAUUAUCCUUAGCUCUUUGGUGGCUGAAAACCGACGAGUUUCUCUAGAACUACCGAGAAAAAGUACUGAGGAAAAUAUGUGGCCGAUAUGGGGAUCGAACCCACGACCUUGGCGUUAUUAGCACCACGCUCUAACCAACUGAACUAACCAGCCAACAUUUUGGGUCUCUUCCCCCACACCACUCCCCCUCCCCAUUAAUCUAGACCCUCAUCCUUUUUUGUGGUGAAAGCAUUAAAUUCAGCAAUAUAAUUCCUGUUUGUCUCACAAGGAGAAACAAUUUCUUAGUUACUUUAGACAAUUCAAUAUCAUAUUACCUCUGAUCAUUCUGGGUAGUCUUUUCUGUCCUGUAUAGGUUCCAUACCUGCACAUACUCAUGAAUAUUAAGCUGAAUACUUCAGAAGUUCUUUCUGGAGUUAUCUCUUAUUACAGCUCUCUUCUUUCUGGUAUGCUAUCAUAUUCACUCUAGCUGCCCCAGUCUCCCAGUCUAUCAACUCCUCAUCAACUCUGGGAGUCCACCAGGCUCUGCUUGGGUUCUGCCUUUCUGCAUUGGGGCCUGGAAAUUCAAGGCCUUAGUUAGGGGCUAAUCCUACUGUUCACCUCCCCCUCUCUCCAAUCAUUCAUUUUUUCCCCUGUGAUUAGGGGUUACUAUUCUUCCUUACCAAAUACUGUAUGUCUUGAAAAGUGUCAUUUCAUCUUUUUUGUUAGGUUUUGGUUCUUUACAGCAGGAAUGUAAAUCUGAUCCCUGUUAUUCCAACUUGACUGGAAUCAUCUCCCAGUUAUUUGGAGGAUGAAGAGCUAUUUGGAGGAGCUAUUUUCUGCUAUGGGUUGCAGGCUUUUGGCACCAGAGAGGACCCUGUUAUUAUAUAAGUGCAGCGGCCUGUCUUCCAGGGCUGUCCGGAGAUCUUGGAGCCUCAGGGUUCUUGGGGCAAGCAGAUGUUGAGCUGUGUCUCCAGGCUCCGACUGGGACAACAUGUCUGAAGAGUUCAGGCUACAAGCCCCAGGGUGGCUAAAUUGCCUGCUCUUCUUUUGGGUUUGCCCUGGAAUGCUCUGUUUGACUGAUUGGAGUGGGCACAGAGGUAGAGAGAGAGCUUGGGGGAGGGCAGGUUCUGGGACUAGGGGUCUGGAGGGUCAAAUGUAACUAAAAUGGGCAUUCGGAUCUCUGCUGGACAUGAACUGGUACGUGGCAUCCACGCACUUUUUCUUUAUUUGUGCCCUGUAGCCACCAGUAGAUAUCCUUCACCUGAGGAAAUUGGAACACCUUCGCCUCGGGGCUCUAUGGGCAUCUUCUGGUAGAGCGCCAAGGGACCCGAGGAUCCUGACCUUGACCUCUAAGAGGCCGAGCUCUCUCCAUUCAGAAUGUCUCCUUGAAGAAACAUCCAGGAAUGUUUACCUUGGGGUCUCCUUGAUUCCCUUUCCUCAAACAAAAC
rnacentral:tRNA from 1 species